UGCACAUAUCCAACUCUGUCUGAGUCUGUGCUGACAUAAUGCAGUGAAGAUGAUAUUUUGCAAUUUUAUGGUUCAUGGGUGACUCAUCAAGGUCAUCCAAGCUAAGACCUCAGGAAACACUCGGGACAAGGACCUAGAAAUGUCCUUGGUAUAUCAUAGAUGUUCAAUAAAUGUUUAUAGGUGUGUUGUUGUUGUUGUUUUUAUUAAUUUGGAAAGCGGCCCUCAGAGUCUAGGAUUCGCUCUAGAAAGAGCAGUAUCAUCUGGGUUGCUAAUAGUAAGCUUAUCAUUCAGGAACUUGACUUGGUGCUUUUUGCAGGCCUCCUCCAGCCCAGCUUGAAAUUUAGAAUUUGUCACUCUUCCAGCUCAGCUCUCCCGGGUAUCAGCCAGAUUCUGUCACCUUCUGUGGUUACUGACCGGACUAAGAGGGGGAGGAUUAGAACCAAGAGGUCGGAGGAUUUUGUUUUAAGCAUCUUCCCUAUGGGAAAGCCUUGAGAAAAUCCAGAGGCCCCUCGACACUGUCAUGCAAUGGCUUCUCCCGCUUAUGGGAAGCAGAUGGGGUUAACAGGCUGCAACUGUUGUUUUAAGCAAAAUUCCCAAGCAACUUCCUAUAUCAGAUACUCCCAUAUGACAUACAAUAAAGGAAGAAAAACCAUUCGAGAUCCCAUGGGAAGUUCCUCCCUCUCACUUUUAGAAACCAUGCUUACUAGCUUUUUCACAGAAAUAAAGGAAAAAGAAUUUUAUUGGAUGGUGCUUUGGGGUCACAUCUUUUCCCAGAAGGUGCAUAAUAAGAGAGGCCAAAACUCCUUUGCUUCUUAGAAUGUCUGACCAACGCUGGGGGUAGUGGGUGAGAUCCAGAUGGCAGGCAUUCUAUACCUUGCCUGUACCCCAAACUGAGUAAACGGAGCUGGUUCUGGGGCAGUGGAAGAUUCCUGCCUUUGAGCAGAGGGCGGAGCUGAUUGGAUAACAUCUGGGAGUUGUUAGCAUGGGAAUUUAUAGAUCUUUGUCUCAGGGUCCUGCCAUUGUCAUCUCAUAAUAUUAAAAAAAAAAAAAAAUAGCAGCAGAGCCCAGUCUUGCCUGAGAGAGGAGUCAUCUCCGUAUACAGACACUGGCCAUCCCUUAGUUAAGCUCCCAUGUUCUUGGCUCACAGAACCCCCAGUGUGUUCAUCCCUCUCCCCAUUUGCUAGGGUAUCUUUUUAGACACUUUCCCAGCUUCCCUUGCUGCUAAAGAUGACCAUGUGACACAGUUCUGGCCAAUGAGACAGUAGGGGAAGUUGCUGGGGGGCUUCAGGAACAAAGCAUGCUUUCUCAAUAAAGACAGAGAUGUCUGAGCAGAGCUUCCUUCUGCUGCCUCCCUUCCUAUUUGGGAUCCUGCGGCAAUGAUGUGACGCGUGGUGUUGUGAUGGCCAUCUUGCACCCAGGAAGAGAUAGGUACCAGAAUCAGAUGAUGGCUGGAAGGUUAAAAAGAGCCUGGUUAUGGAUGAUGUCUGAGCUGUUGCACCAAACAUGGAGCUACCUAGCUGUGAAGAGGGCAUGUGAGAGAGCUAAAGAUCAGUGUUUCCUCUGCCUCUGGGAGUCGGCUAUUCUGUUAUUUGCACAUAAACUCAUCUGAACUGAUGCAUCUAAUAUUGGCAGAUCCUAAAACAAUGAGCCCUUGUUUUCCCUCAUUCUUGUUAGGAAGGUCACUGUCUCACUUUAUUUCUUUCGCUCACAAACACCAGGAGGCAAUAACAUGUGGAGAUUAAAAGUUAAGGCCUUAGACCCAGAUGGACCUGUGUCUGUGAUCCAGUCACAUCCCUUUCUCAUUGUAUGGCCUUGGGAAAAUUGCUUUAGGUAGGUAAGCUUCACUUUUCUCAACUGUAGAAUGGAAUAAUGCAGUGAGGAUAAUAUUGGUACCUACUUAAUUGGCCUAUUGUGAAGAAAAGGAGAAAUAAUGUGAGUGAAGGGCUCAACCCUUGUGCUUGUUAUUACUUUUCUUUCUGUCAGUGGGUACAUGUUUGUUCAUACAGUCUUAUUGUCUAUUGCCCAGUUAGUGUCUAAACUUUUUUUCAACUUGAUUUUUCACUAGCUCUUGAAAUGUCAUUCAUCUGUAUCUCAACUCCUGUUUUUUUCUCCUUCAUGGUAGAAUCCAUGGAAUGAAGCAUUCAGCCCUGUGUUGGGCCAAAUAUUCUAGUCCAGGAAGUAGCAAACUAUGGCUGUGGGACAAGUCUGGCCAGCCACCUGGUUUUGUAAAUAAAGUUUUAUUGCAACACUG